GCAGAACAUGAGCUGCUCUCUCUCUCUCACUAUGUGUCUGUAGUGACUCUCGGUCUAUAUUUAACCUGCAGGAGGACUCUCACUCACACAUACUCGACAUAAUCGAGGCCGCUAACAGACGACGAGCAGGAUGGAGGAGGAGGCUCCAUCCCGGCGCUCUGUGGCUGAGCUUGCGGGAAGAUUCAAAGGCUCGGCUCCUCCACACGAUGCUGCUGGACCUGAAACGGAGAAGCCGGUCAGACGCCGCCCUCCUCGCUCCUUACAGCUCCCCAAAACACAUGGAGACAACCAGGAGCAGUCACCAGGCGUCACCUCUCCUGUACCUGCUGCUAAAAGGAACUCUGCUCUGAUCGAGAAGCUCCAGGCCAGCCUCGUUCUCCCCUCCGCGGCCCCGCUGCUCUCUCCAAAGAGCCCUGGCUUCAGACUGCUGCCUCACACCUUCCCCCCCUCCUCCCCCGGCUCCAGCCCAGCUACCCCGGUAAUCAGUUCUUCUGCAGCAACCCCCACCAGCCCUGUAACAGAAGAGGAAGGCCCCGCCUCCUUUGAAGCCCCUCCCACUGUGGAGGAGGGGUCCAUCCUGUCAAACGCCAACAUCAAGGGCAGAGCUCGCCACUCCAUCCGACGACGCCCGCCAUCCCGCCGCCACAGGAAGUCCAGCAGUGGAGACGAGGUUGGCGUCGCCGACAGUGAAGGAGAUGUGUCUCUGAGCUCGCCAAGUGAACCAGAAGUCAAAACGCCAGGAGGAGGCGAGAAGGAGGAGGCAGGAGAGCUUUUCAAACAGGAAGGUCAAACAGACGAGGUGAAGGAGGAUAAAACAGACGCUUCAACGUGUCCUGAGAAAAACGAGUCCCACGAAGAAGAUCGCUCAGAGAUCAGCGCCGAGCCCGGAGAGGAAGACGAGAAGAAGGAGGAGGCAGAGGAAGGAUCCAAGGGAGGAGAGGAGGGAGAAGGAUCUUCAUCAGGAAGAAAGGAGGAGGAGGAGGAGAAAAACUCUGAAGAAAAAAAGGAAGAAGAUUUGACUGAAGGAGCGACAAACACAGACUGCAAAGAAGAAGAAAAGACCCAGGUGAUUCCAGCUUUCCAUACUGCCACUGUGCACUGCCUGCUCAGCAGCAAACAGGCUGGCUGGUGAACAUAGUGCAGCAUUUAGCAGCUAAAGAGCCAGAUAGUUCCUUCAGCAGUGGCUAGAGACCAAAACCAGAGCUAAAAGAGAGGGAACACUGGACUUCCAUUCAUCAGGAGGCAAGUCAGUGUUCAGUCCGGUGAGCGACCAGAUGUAUGGCCAAGUCACAGAUGGAGCACUGCAGCCAUGUUGAGCCCCUGGGGUGCUGGGAGGGAGACCCUGCUGCAGCGCGGCCUGGAGGAAAAGGCCUGUCUGAGAGUCUGGACUCUGUGCAGAUGAACGUUUACGAAACUCUGAUGAAGCGAGGAAGCCGACUGAAACUCUCUCUCUCCUGUCUCACGAUGAGUGCAGCUUGACAAGAAAACUCCUGAAAGCGACUGAUGGGAAUUCGUUUUUAACUAAUCCUCUAUUCAAAGCCUUUUUACACUGCAGCGCUGGAUUUGUUUGUUUUUUUAAGAAUAUAAUGUGUUUUUAUCGUUUUCAUGCUCAUGUUUUCUUGCUGUCCGGUGCCCUCAGAGCUGUGACUGAUAAUGAUGACGAUGGCGAUGUGUGAUAUUUGCUGUCUGUACAUUUAUUUAAAGCACCGAAGCUUUCUGUGCAACAGUAUGCAAAGCGUCAACAAACACGCCUGUCUUCAUGUAAUUUUGUCUCUGUGUUGGCUCAGUCACAGUGUUCAGAGGGUCACCUGGUGCCUUAUUCCAAAGACUCAUAAACAAAUACUUUGUCACAAAACCAGCCUCUGAACUUUUUAUUGUUUUAAACUGUGCAAAGACUCAGAAGGUAAAGAAACUGUAAAUUUUAUCGUAAAGCAAAGUUUUAAAACGGGGUAUGUGACAUUGUGCCUUUAAGUCUGAAACUGGAAUUAAAAUACAUAUUUUGGCUAAA